CCCGGAUGCCCGAAGGAACGAGUGUAGAGGGAUGGACAUGGGAGGGUUCAGAUACGGCGAUUGGACCGGGGCCGUCGAAGGUGUUCUGGAGACUGGAGAGGAGCCGCAGCUGCCAGGAGGAGCCAAGGUUCAUCUCGUGAUCCCCCUCCCUCCUGCUUGCGACCGAUCCUCCUGAAACACCAGCAACAUUCGCAUUUGGACUUACCAGAUCAAACCAUGAAUCCCAAAUUGGAAGCAGCAACACAGAUGCAAAAGACUAAUGUUGAAUGAAGCAUGAGUGGAAUUUAGACUGUGAAGCUCAUGUAUCCAUGCCUUCUGAUAUUUCCUUAAGAAAAUAAGAAAAAUACAAGAGGAGAAUUACUGGCUCUGCUUAGUAAGUGAAGAUCGCAAGAGCUGGGCUUUGAUUGCAUUCAGCGUCAUGGCCAUGGAAGUGACUGUUUCUGAAUCUGCUGUGACAGAGCAUUCAAGCGUAGGGGACCUCUCAAAUCUUUUAAUUUCUUCGGGAGGGAUAUAGUAGGCCUGAGGCCUCCAUCGCGGAGGCAGGUGGAGCCAUGGUGGUUGGUGGAUAAAGGCCGGCUGGACACAACCAUGCUGGCCAGGAUAACGAGACAGAAGAUAUGGGAUUGAUGUGUACAAAGGCAAGGAACAAGAUAAAGAUCUUCAAAUGAGCAAUCCAUGAAGGAUGACCGAUUGCGCUGAAUAGAGAGGAAAGCAAUGCACAUGGGUGGCUCGACCCAAGAAGUGGUCCUCAAGAAGCAUCUCGAGACAAUCUCGAUAUUGCACUCAUGCAAGAAGACCCAAUGGAAGCAUAAAAGAAGAGUGUUCUUCCUCGAAGCAAGUACAAUCGGGUGAUUGGCAAUCCAUCCUAGGAAAUGAUCACCAUAGCAGGCUGCUGGAACAAAGAUGAGAGAGAGAGACACCAUCACCACCAGAUGUGAACAUGGAGAUGUCACAGGACUUAGCAACUCUACUGAUAUGUCACCUGUCUUGUGGAAAUAGAGAGCUGUUCUCUGCAGUCAUAUUGCAUAGUUUCUGUCAGUGAUGGCUGAUAUCAUGACAACACUCUCCGGGGAUCUGUAAUCAAAUUUAGAUUUGGAUUCCAUUGCCCACGAGACUUAUCAUUUCUCUUUUCUAGUAUGACUCUUCGAAUCUUAAUAUAAUAAAUUUGUUGAAUUGGAAAAUAA